rnacentral:rRNA from 1 species
UACAGAGGGUGCAAGCGUUGUUCGGAAUUAUUGGGCGUAAAGCGCGUGUAGGCGGCUUUGCAAGUCGGGUGUGAAAGCCCUCGGCUCAACCGAGGAAGUGCGCCCGAAACUGCAGAGCUUGAGUACCGGAGAGGAUGGCGGAAUUCCCCAAGUAGAGGUGAAAUUCGUAGAUAUGGGGAGGAACACCGGUGGCGAAGGCGGCCAUCUGGACGGAUACUGACGCUGAGGCGCGAAAGCGUGGGUAGCAAACAGG